CCUGCUCACUGAAAUUUAUAGGAGCUCUGUCCCUGGGAGGAAAGAUGAGCUCUGUUCUGAGUUGUGCUUUUUCCCAGCCUAUUUGGAAAAAAUAUACUCAGGCAGGUUGUAACAACUGAAGCAUGAGCUAUUUAUGUGCUGUUGGGUAUUUCCAUGUUGAAAUAUUUGACAGGCUCUAUGUUAAAUCUGUGGGUUGGGUUUCUAAAUGCCUAUCUCCAAGCCUCUCCCUUCUGCCUUGUUAAAAGAAAGGCUUUAAGAAAGGAAGUGAGGAAACUUGAAAGUUAAAUGUAUUCAAGGGGUUUGCUCAGAGAGCACAGGAAGCCUUCCAUAGUAUCAGCUCUCUCAUUGAAAUUGCUAUAUUAAUUCUAUUGAUUAAUUAGUUUGUGAUUCUUUAAACACUGUAAAUGCCUCUAGGACUUUUUAAGGAAGAAGUUGCACUUGGGGAUAGAGCUCUCAAAGACACCAGAAUCAAAUCAGGCUAAGGCUUCAUUUGCCUUGUAAUACUUGGCCCACAGCUGAUGAGGAUGUGUUUUACAGGGCUGAAGGUAAGAAGCAAUCACUUCAGCUGUAUGUGUCUGAAGGAAGUUUGCUUAGAAACCACCUUCUAGAGGAAAAAGAUAAAAAAUCCCUGCCCUAUUCAAGAAGAGCAUCAGGCUGCCUGGUGUGAUUUGUGGUGGGGAGGCAUGUAUUACUGACAGCAGACUGGCUCAGGCUGGUGCCUUUACUGUCAAGUCUUAAUGAUGAUGCCCUUGCCUGGAAACAAUGCCCAACCUGUGACCAGGGACCCUCUGCUGCUGGAGCUGGUGUCUGCAGAUGCUCUCUUGGGCUAUGGCAAUACCACAUGUGUAGCUGUGCAAGCACCAGUUUAAACAUCACUAUGGUUAGAAGACUUCAGUACUACUUCCCUCCAGAACACAAGCAGAACCUUCACAGCUCAUAAAGCCAGAAGAGACUUGUGAUCAUCCUGUCUGCCUGCUGCAGGACCCAGUGAAGCAGUAGGAAGCAUUUCAGAUGUGGGUGCUCAUUUUCAGCACACAAGUUAAAGGAGCACCGUUAAAAGUGGAAACACUACUUCUACAAUCAAAGGAGGUACCUGGGGAAAAAAAAACUUCCAGGGGAAAAAAUCCAUCAUGUUGCCUCCUACUUGCCUAAAUACAAUGGUUGGGGUAAGCUGAGGACAAUGUUUUGCUUCAAAACUGCAUUUCCUGCUCUCAGUCAACCUACAGCUUACCUCAUCUGGUAUGUUCACCCCAAAAGAAUCACAGCCCAGUGACAAUAACACAGGCAGCUUUGGUUGACAAAGGUGACUUUACAGUGCAACAGCAUAAACAUCCUCAUGAGGGUGUCAUCCUUUCAUGCAUCUCAUGGGAUACCCUAUAUAUGAAGUUCUAAAUCCAUUUAGUAGUUGGUGCUAUUAGGAGUAGAUAGAAUCCAUCUGAGUGGGUGAAUGCCAAAGGGGAUUAUUUAUUUUACUGUAACACAAAUCUAUGCUUAAUAGGAGGGAAAAGUAUAUUUAUUAUUUUUUAAUAUAAAUAAGGGAAAAUACAAGGAAUUAUUACUGGCAAUAAACCAGUGCAAUUCAUAGCUUGGUUGUAACAGCUGUGUAACUGUGUAGAUUGCAGAAGUUGUCAGGGGAUGAAUUCAUGGCUGGACAUGAGCCUGGCUGAGGGUUGGUAGCAGCAGGGUGUUGGUGUGGAGCAUGCACUCGAGGUGAUGCAAUGGGGGAGCUUCCGUAUCACUGCACAACUUUGCCUCAUUUCCAGGUUAACAUCCUGCACCCUUCUUGUAGGUUGUACAGCACCCUGUUUCAGCUAAUUUAUCAACAUGUAACUUCUGCUCAGCAGGCUCUAUCAUCCUGUCCCAUAGCAACGCUAUGUGUGUAGUAAACAAAUUGAUGCCCUGCAUUACUGCUUCUUAGGUACUUCCUAAUUCCUAGUAUGGAGGAACUGCAUGAGAACUG